UACGUAGGGGGCUAGCGUUGUCCGGAUUUAUUGGGCGUAAAGAGCGUGUAGGCGGCCAGGUAGGUCCGCUGUGAAAGUCCGAGGCUCAACCUCGGAAUGUCGGCGGAAACCCUCUGGCUAGAGUCCGGAAGAGGAGAGUGGAAUUCCCGGUGUAGCGGUGAAAUGCGGCAGAUAUCGGGAAGAACACCCGUGGCGAAGGCGGCUCUCUGGAACGGUACUGACGCUGAGACGCGAAAGCGUGGGGAGCGAACAGG
rnacentral:rRNA from 1 species